UACGGGGGGGGUAAGCGUUGUUCGGAAUUACUGGGCGUAAAGGGCUCGUAGGCGGCCAACUAAGUCAGACGUGAAAUCCCUCAGCUUAACUGGGGAACUGCGUCUGAUACUGGAUGGCUUGGAUUCGGGAGAGGAAUGCGGAAUUCCAGGUGUAGCGGUGAAAUGCGUAGAUAUCUGGAGGAACACCGGUGGCGAAGGCGGCAUCCUGGACCAACACUGACGCUGAGGAGCGAAAGCCAGGGGAGCAAACGGGG
rnacentral:rRNA from 1 species